CUCUUUCUUAUUUCCAUACUGCCUUCCCUAGACCUGUCAUCCACAUGGGUAUCUUCAUGCACAGUAUCUUCUUAGAUGAACAUGAUGUUCCCAAAUUGUCCCACUUUCAUUUUUCUGUAUCAAUUCCCGAAGGUGAAGCUGACGUGGACGCUCCUUUUCGUUCAAUAUUCUGCGCCCCGGAGUUUGAAGCAACAGGCAAGGCAACUGAGAAAGCUGAUGUAUAUGCUUUUGGUCGGAUUCUUCUUGAACUUUUAACUGGAGAGGAUUCUCUUAAUAUAACCCGAUUUACAAUUGAUAAAGAUUCUACUUUAGUAGCAUACCUACAUAACCGUGCACAAGGUAGUUGCAUAAACGAGAUUAUGGACCCUGCAAUCUUGGCUGAAGAUGGGGAUGGAGGUGCUAGUUUACAGCAUCAAUUACAAGCUGUGGUGGACCUUGGCUUGACAUGUACAGAGGAAGAUCCACAAAGAAGGCCAACUAUGGUAGAUGUCACCAAACAACUCAGGCGGAUUGAGAGGUUCACACAAACGGGUGAAGAGCUUGGGGGAAAUUUGCAGAAUUUAAAGCUUCUUGAGAGUGUUGAAGAGCAUGCUUCUGCAUCAUUGAAAAGGAAUGCUUCUAGUGAUGAAAUCCAAGCAGUGAACAAAGCCUCUGAAAGGCCUCUUGAAGUUUGAUUGUGAUGCAACUGAAUGAUGACAGAGCUUGUAUGGCAGUUUUAACCUGUAAUUGGGAAGUUAUCAUUAUGGCAAACCCUUAAGACACUGAUGGAUUCGUGAUUCCAAGCCUGGAAAUAGGAGACUUAGAUCGGAGUAAAACUGAUGUUUCAGAAGUAGAAGCCUCAAAACCUCCUUGUCCAAAGCCAAAAAAGAAGAGAAUAUCUACCUAUGUCCACACGGAGCACCUCCUUCACAGUCAAAGCAGCAAGACCCAAAUUCUGCUGGUCGUAAGCAGCGGUUCAAGCAAAAAUUGAAGGAAGCAGAUGAGAGGACCAGUGGGACAGGUCGGGAGAAUAAGUUAGAGAGUCUCAGAGAACUUGUGGGUGGUGGCAAAGCCACCGGCAACAUGACAAAGGGCUCUACCAGGGAUUGGCUAGACCCACAUUGUCAUGAGUCUCAGUUUGAGAAGUGGAAUCCCCAGUGAGUGGAAUAUUUGAGAGCUUUUUAAACUUGGCACACUGGGUUAUCUUUGGAGACUGAAUUUAUAAAAGGUUAUGUAUUUUGCAAUAAAUUUUCAACCAGGCCUUUGAGAUUUGCUUUUGCUGCGAAAGAUUCUUUCAGUAGCAUUUCCGAUGUUUGGGUUGUAUUUGCUGCAGUUGGUGUUUGGCCCUUCUCUUAUUUUGUGCUCCUUCCACUUUGA